rnacentral:rRNA from 1 species
UACGUAGGAGACGAGCGUUGUCCGGAGUUACUGGGCGUAAAGGGUGCGCAGGUGGCGUCGCGCGUGGGGGGUGAAAUCGCCCGGCUUAACUGGGCGGGGGCCUUCCAGACGGCGUGGCUUGAGCAGCGGAGGGGGACGUGGAAUUCCGGGUGGAGCGGUGAAAUGCGUAGAGAUCCGGAGGAACACCGACGGCGCAGGCAGCGUCCUGGCCGAUUGCUGACACUGAGGCACGAAAGCUGGGGGAGCAAACAGG